GAUGAACGCUGGCUACAGGCUUAACACAUGCAAGUCGAGGGGAAACGACGGGGAAGCUUGCUUCCCCGGGCGUCGACCGGCGCACGGGUGAGUAACGCGUAUCCAACCUGCCUCUGACUGAGGGAUAACCCGUCUAAAGUCGGCCUAAUACCUCAUGGCAUCGUCUUCUUGCAUCCAACGACGAUUAAAGGUUUCAUCUUUCCGGGAUGGGGAUGCGUUUGUUUAGCUUGUUGAGGGGGUAACGGCCCACAAAGGCUACGAGCAGUAGGGGUUCUGAGGGGAAAUGCCCCAAGAUGGAAACGAGAAAAGGUCCAAAAUCAUACGGGAGGCAGCAGUGAGAAAAAUUGGUAAAUGGGCGGGAGCAUGAACCAGACAAGUAGCGUGCAGGAUGACGGCAAUAUGGGUUGUAAACUGCUUUUAUGCGGGGAUAAAGUGAGGGACGUGUCCUUCAUUGCAGGUACCGCAUGAAUAAGGACCGGCUAAUUCCGUG
rnacentral:rRNA from 1 species